rnacentral:rRNA from 1 species
AGCGGAUGAGAGGAGCUUGCUCCUUGAUUUAGCGGCGGACGGGUGAGUAAUGCCUAGGAAUCUGCCUGGUAGUGGGGGAUAACGUCCGGAAACGGGCGCUAAUACCGCAUACGUCCUACGGGAGAAAGCAGGGGACCUUCGGGCCUUGCGCUAUCAGAUGAGCCUAGGUCGGAUUAGCUAGUUGGUGAGGUAAUGGCUCACCAAGGCGACGAUCCGUAACUGGUCUGAGAGGAUGAUCAGUCACACUGGAACUGAGACACGGUCCAGACUCCUACGGGAGGCAGCAGUGGGGAAUAUUGGACAAUGGGCGAAAGCCUGAUCCAGCCAUGCCGCGUGUGUGAAGAAGGUCUUCGGAUUGUAAAGCACUUUAAGUUGGGAGGAAGGGCAGUAAGUUAAUACCUUGCUGUUUUGACGUUACCGACAGAAUAAGCACCGGCUAACUUCGUGCCAGCAGCCGCGGUAAUACGAAGGGUGCAAGCGUUAAUCGGAAUUACUGGGCGUAAAGCGCGCGUAGGUGGUUCGUUAAGUUGGAUGUGAAAGCCCCGGGCUCAACCUGGGAACUGCAUCCAAAACUGGCGAGCUAGAGUACGGUAGAGGGUGGUGGAAUUUCCUGUGUAGCGGUGAAAUGCGUAGAUAUAGGAAGGAACACCAGUGGCGAAGGCGACCACCUGGACUGAUACUGACACUGAGG